rnacentral:rRNA from 1 species
GAAGGUGUGCUGUGAGGCAUGCUGGAGGUAUCAGAAGUGCGAAUGCUGACAUAAGUAACGAUAAAGCGGGUGAAAAGCCCGCUCGCCGGAAGACCAAGGGUUCCUGUCCAACGUUAAUCGGGGCAGGGUGAGUCGACCCCUAAGGCGAGGCCGAAAGGCGUAGUCGAUGGGAAACAGGUUAAUAUUCCUGUACUUGGUGUUACUGCGAAGGGGGGACGGAGAAGGCUAUGUUGGCCGGGCGACGGUUGUCCCGGUUUAAGCGUGUAGGCUGGUUUUCCAGGCAAAUCCGGAAAAUCAAGGCUGAGGCGUGAUGACGAGGCACUACGGUGCUGAAGCAACAAAUGCCCUGCUUCCAGGAAAAGCCUCUAAGCAUCAGGUAACAUCAAAUCGUACCCCAAACCGACACAGGUGGUCAGGUAGAGAAUACCAAGGCGCUUGAGAGAACUCGGGUGAAGGAACUAGGCAAAAUGGUGCCGUAACUUCGGGAGAAGGCACGCUGAUAUGUAGGUGAAGUCCCUCGCGGAUGGAGCUGAAAUCAGUCGAAGAUACCAGCUGGCUGCAACUGUUUAUUAAAAACACAGCACUGUGCAAACACGAAAGUGGACGUAUACGGUGUGACGCCUGCCCGGUGCCGGAAGGUUAAUUGAUGGGGUCAGCGCAAGCGAAGCUCUUGAUCGAAGCCCCGGUAAACGGCGGCCGUAACUAUAACGGUCCUAAGGUAGCGAAAUUCCUUGUCGGGUAAGUUCCGACCUGCACGAAUGGCGUAAUGAUGGCCAGGCUGUCUCCACCCGAGACUCAGUGAAAUUGAACUCGCUGUGAAGAUGCAGUGUACCCGCGGCAAGACGGAAAGACCCCGUGAACCUUUACUAUAGCUUGACACUGAACAUUGAGCCUUGAUGUGUAGGAUAGGUGGGAGGCUUGGAAGUGUGGACGCCAGUCUGCAUGGAGCCGACCUUGAAAUACCACCCUUUAAUGUUUGAUGUUCUAACGUUGACCCGUAAUCCGGGUUGCGGACAGUGUCUGGUGGGUAGUUUGACUGGGGCGGUCUCCUCCUAAAGAGUAACGGAGGAGCACGAAGGUUGGCUAAUCCUGGUCGGACAUCAGGAGGUUAGUGCAAUGGCAUAAGCCAGCUUGACUGCGAGCGUGACGGCGCGAGCAGGUGCGAAAGCAGGUCAUAGUGAUCCGGUGGUUCUGAAUGGAAGGGCCAUCGCUCAACGGAUAAAAGGUACUCCGGGGAUAACAGGCUGAUACCGCCCAAGAGUUCAUAUCGACGGCGGUGUUUGGCACCUCGAUGUCGGCUCAUCACAUCCUGGGGCUGAAGUAGGUCCCAAGGGUAUGGCUGUUCGCCAUUUAAAGUGGUACGCGAGCUGGGUUUAGAACGUCGUGAGACAGUUCGGUCCCUAUCUGCCGUGGGCGCUGGAGAACUGAGGGGGGCUGCUCCUAGUACGAGAGGACCGGAGUGGACGCAUCACUGGUGUUCGGGUUGUCAUGCCAAUGGCACUGCCCGGUAGCUAAAUGCGGAAGAGAUAAGUGCUGAAAGCAUCUAAGCACGAAACUUGCCCCGAGAUGAGUUCU